UACGUAGGGGACAAGCGUUAUCCGGAUUUACUGGGCGUAAAGCGCCCGUAGGCGGCCUGACAAGUUGGACGUGAAAGCUCCUGGCUUAACUGGGAGAGGCCGUUCAAAACUGUCAAGCUAGAGUCUGGAAGAGGAGAGCGGAAUUCCCGGUGUAGUGGUGGAAUGCGUAGAGAUCGGGAGGAACACCGGUGGCGAAGGCGGAUCUCUGGGCCAUUACUGACGCUGAGGAGCGAAAGCGUGGGGAGCAAACAGG
rnacentral:rRNA from 1 species